rnacentral:rRNA from 1 species
UACGGAGGAUGCGAGCGUUAUCCGGAUUUAUUGGGUUUAAAGGGUGCGCAGGCGGGAUGUUAAGUCAGCGGUAAAAUUUCGGGGCUCAACCUCGACGAGCCGUUGAAACUGACGUUCUUGAGUGGACGAGAAGUAUGCGGAAUGCGUAGUGUAGCGGUGAAAUGCAUAGAUAUUACGCAGAACUCCGAUUGCGAAGGCAGCAUACCGGCGUCCAACUGACGCUCAUGCACGAAAGCGUGGGUAUCGAACAGGAUUAGAUA